GAAGUGUUUUGUGUGUGUGUGUGUGUGUGUGUGUGUGUGUGUGUAUGUGGUUGUUUCCUUUUCUUAAAGGUUCCCUUUAAGUAGCAGUUUCAGAUAAUAAUAACAAAGCAACUAUUCCUGGGGGCUUGCGGUGUGCCAGGUGCUGACUGCCCUACUGCUUUAUCUCUCUCAGUAUCCUGUGAAUUACUACAUAUUUAUCUCCAUUUUGCAGAAGGUGAAACAGUGAAGAAAAUAACUUAUUUAAGAUCAUGUGGUUAAGUCAGGGGCAGGCCCCUGCGCUGUCCAUGGCAGAGCCAUUCUGAUUUCUAGUCAUCUAUGUAACUGUGUUAAAUUCUAAUCAUUUCUAAUGCUUUUGUUUCUUUGCUUCUUUAGGAGAAGCCAAGAGAACCUUGAGGCAGAUGCGCUAAAGGCAGGGAGGCGCCAGCACAGGACGCACCCCCACCACCAGGCCCCAGCCAUCCAGAAACAACUGGAAAGACAGCCUUCACACUAAGUGAACUAGAAGCUGUCCAGGAUCAAACAAACAAACAAGCAAACAAACAAACAAGAAAAUAAAUAGCCAUCCCUUGUGCUGAGUACUCCA
rnacentral:lncRNA from 1 species